rnacentral:lncRNA from 1 species
CACCAUAUAUAAAAAAUAAAAAUAAUGUGUUUAAUGAGUUUAUAUUAACAAAGAGUCAUUCCAUAAAACACAUCCUUCUCCUUUUUUUCGAGUAAUGCAACACAAUUACACCAUCCUUAUAUAGAUACAACCAUUAGCAUCAAAGAAUAUAAUAUUGUUGCAAAAGAUUUCCAACCACAUACGAAUACGGCUAGAGAUCAUCAGAACGGUAUUCCUGC